AUACUUACCUGGCAGAGAAAAUAACGUUCUGAAGGCGGUUUUGCCAGAACGGGACUUUUCCAUUGCACUCCCCACAUGCUGAUCCUCGCGUUUUCUCCAAAUGUGACAAAUUCGACUGCAUACCUUGUGGUAGUAGGGGACUAAGUUAGUGCUUUCCGCUG
ensembl:snRNA U1 U1 spliceosomal RNA